AUUGAACGCUGGCGGCGGGCCUAACACAUGCAAGUCGAACGGAUGAAGGGAGCUUGCUCCUGGAUUCAGCGGCGGACGGGUGAGUAAUGCCUAGGAAUCUGCCUGGUAGUGGGGGAUAACGUCCGGAAACGGGCGCUAAUACCGCAUACGUCCUGAGGGAGAAAGUGGGGGAUCUUCGGACCUCACGCUAUCAGAUGAGCCUAGGUCGGAUUAGCUAGUUGGUGGGGUAAAGGCCUACCAAGGCGACGAUCCGUAACUGGUCUGAGAGGAUGAUCAGUCACACUGGAACUGAGACACGGUCCAGACUCCUACGGGAGGCAGCAGUGGGGAAUAUUGGACAAUGGGCGAAAGCCUGAUCCAGCCAUGCCGCGUGUGUGAAGAAGGUCUUCGGAUUGUAAAGCACUUUAAGUUGGGAGGAAGGGCAGUAAGUUAAUACCUUGCUGUUUUGACGUUACCAACAGAAUAAGCACCGGCUAACUUCGUG
rnacentral:rRNA from 1 species